AUUGAACGCUGGCGGCAUGCCUUACACAUGCAAGUCGAACGGCAGCACGGGUGCUUGCACCUGGUGGCGAGUGGCGAACGGGUGAGUAAUACAUCGGAACGUACCUUAUCGUGGGGGAUAACGCAGCGAAAGCUGUGCUAAUACCGCAUACGCCCUGAGGGGGAAGCGGGGGAUCGCAAGACCUCGCGCGAUUAGAGCGGGCGAUGCCUGAUCAGCGAGUUGGUGGGGUAAAAGCCCACCAAGGCGACGAUCAGUAGCUGGUCUGAGAGGACGAUCAGCCACACUGGGACUGAGACACGGCCCAGACUCCUGCGGGAGGCAGGAGUGGGGAAUGUUGGACAAUGGGGGCAACCCUGAUCCAGCAAUGCCGCGUGAGUGAAGAAGGCCUUCGGGUUGUAAAGCUCUUUUGUCAGGGAAGAAACACCGGCUCUAACACAGUCCGGGAAUGACGGUACCUGAAGAAUAAGCACCGGCUAACUACGUGCCAGCCGCCGCCGUAC
rnacentral:rRNA from 1 species